rnacentral:rRNA from 1 species
UAGGGAAUCUUCGGCAAUGGACGAAAGUCUGACCGAGCAACGCCGCGUGAGUGAAGAAGGUUUUCGGAUCGUAAAACUCUGUUGUUAGAGAAGAACAAGGGUGAGAGUAACUGUUCACCCCUUGACGGUAUCUAACCAGAAAGCCACGACUAACUACGUGCCAA